GACGUAGGGCGCGAGCGUUGUCCGGAUUUAUUGGGCGUAAAGAGCUCGUAGGCGGCUUGUCGCGUCGACCGUGAAAACUCGCAGCUCAACUGCGAGCCUGCGGUCGAUACGGGCAGGCUAGAGUUCGGUAGGGGAGACUGGGAUUCCUGGUGUAGCGGUGAAAUGCGCAGAUAUCAGGAGGAACACCGGUGGCGAAGGCGGGUCUCUGGGCCGAUACUGACGCUGAGGAGCGAAAGCGUGGGGAGCGAACAGG
rnacentral:rRNA from 1 species